CUCCGGUAUACCCGUUUCCAGUUACUGGGAGCCGUUGGAGUUUUUGUGUGCUAUGUGCACUGAUGAUGACUCAAUCCUUGGCAUGGAGGAAAUCACGGAGGUGGAAGUCUGACAAUAUGGGCUGCAUGACUACAAAAGGUGUUGGGGAGAUGACAUUUAUAGAUGGCACCAUAAAAUCCUGAUAUAUACCAAAAUACUGGCUGACAAGAUGACUCCCAGUCUCCAGAAGUUUGGCAAAGGACGAAUAGUCCAGCAUGAUAACAAUCCAAAGCACACUGCCAAAAUCACACAGGAGUUUCUAAAGGAGAAACAAGUGAAAACUAUGACCUGGCCAAGUAUGCCACCUGACUUGAAUCCAGUAAAACACCUUUGGGGUAUUUUAAAAAGAAUGGUAGAGCAACACAACCCCUCCAGCAAAGAGCAGCUGAAAAAAAUAUAUAUUUGAAGAAGGGCAGAAAAUCUCUCCAGGAUUGAUUGUAAUAUAUAUUUAAUAAAGAGGAGUGUUUAAUUCAGCACUGGCUUAAAUGCCACAAGUCCUCUAUUUUCCCCUAAUCUCCCUUUGUGAUCCUGACCCUGGCUCGUCUGACUACCCACUUUGGUUCCUGACCCGGCUCGUCUGACUACCUGCUCUGGCUUUGACUCCUGGUUUGCCAUUUGGAUUUUGGACUCGUUAAAAGUUUUUGUUAUUUUUUAAUAAAGGUGUGAUUAAUUUAG